GUCAACUACCCCGCCCUGAAGGGCGGAGCUUGAAAGAGCUUGGUUGACCAGCCUAAGUUCGCCUGACCAGGAGGUCGAAAGGGGCUACGUGUGUCACAGGUCGUUCAGACUCACCGGCGGAUGCUUCCUCAGUCAGCCGCUCUGAAAGGCCAGUAUCAUGCUGGCGCAAGGUAAAACGCCGAAGGUCUGAUCGCCGCCGCAGGGCGGGAGCCGGUGGCACACAUUGGCGAGGGGAGCGAGCC
rfam:Thiorhodovibrio sp. 970 genomic scaffold Thi970scaffold_7, whole genome shotgun sequence.